AUUACCAUACGAACAGUUUCGUCUUUUUAUAAAUAACCAAUCACAAAAAUCAUUUUUCACUUGCCUGAAUUAUGCUACAAAAGUUCCCUCGGUGCAGUUCUUGAAAUAAGCCAAUCAGCAGGUUACUUCUUCCGCACACAAUCUCUUUAUUUUGAUUCCCUGGCAAUUCAUAUUAUUUUUUUCUCAUAUCAAAGACACACACAACAAUAGCACUGUCAAUUUUAUAUAUAACUUUCACUUAGUAUAUACGCAUUUUCUAUACACAAGAAAAGAAAAAAAGCAUUAGUACAUAUGGCGAAAGAAAAUCAUAACAAAACUAUUGUUUUGCAAAAAAAAAACAACAAAGUGACUACCUGCACAAGAUGUUGCUUUUAGGCUCAUCGUAGUAAGUAAGUUAAAUUUUUUUCAGAUUACGAUAACAUUAUAUGUUUGAACUUAUCGAUAACAAUGUUAAAUUACGGAACUAUAAUCAUUUGUUCUGUUGCACUGUGAUAUUCGUACGGGCUUCAUGCCAAAAUGAAAUUGUAAUAAUAAUAUGAUGUAAACAAACGUGAUAAUUUUGUUUUAAGAUUUGCACCCAAUAUUUCAAUUGACUUGCAGAGCGAAUUGUCUGCAAAAAUCUUACAAAUAAUUAACACUUAAAGCUUAAAUAAAUAAAAAACGUUUCGUUAAAUUGUUGACUAACGAUGAAUUUAAAAUAAACAAAAUAAAGACAUACGUUCUAAUUAAAAAUUGAAUAUGCAAUAACAUCGAAAAGCGAUUUGCUAAUAAAAACAGUGAUUGCAAAAGUAUGCUAAUUAUACAUUCUCGAUACCUUAUGACAAAGGAAGGGACAUACACAAUAAAAUAAUGUACUGUUGUGGGAAAUCUUAAGCCUAGUAAUGUAAAUAUCACAAAUUAGUUAUUUAAUACUAUUAUCCCCUGUGCAUUCCAGGUAUUGUCUUGGUGAAAAAGUUUGGUGUUGAAUAUUGCCCAGAAUCAUUGUCAGUAAAUAAGUAGCAGCAGUAAAUAAUUCAUCCAACAGAAUGUUGUCAUGUGCAGCUAAGUUUUCUACAAAUCUUCUUUGCAGGUUUAGGGUAUAGCUGCAAAAUGACACAAUAUUGGCGGUGCUGUAAAUGUGAUCGUUAGAGAACCUUUUAGUUGGAUUUUAAAAGUUUUGACCAACACAUUUUCUUAAAAUCUUCCUCUCAAACGUCUCAACUUCUUUAGCUACAUAUGGCGAAAUGGUGAACCAAAUUGGGAAUCCAUAUCCAAUAAUUGGCCGGAUUGUAACUUUAUAAAGUCGCAGCUUAGUAUUUUGCGGCAAAUAAGUAUUGCACAUUAAUGUGGACAAACGUCAAGCAGUUAAAUUGGCCUUUUUCAAUGAUGCUCUGGCGUGUUCAUUAAAUUUAAAUAAUUUAUUUAUAUGUAUUCCCAAAUAUUUGAAGGAAUCUCGGAAUGGAAUUUCUAUGCCAUCCAAUAAGAGACGCAGAUUCUUCGCUUCGGGAACAACGCUUCUAUGACAUUUCCCAGAUGCGUUUCUAAUACAUACUGCUUCCGAUUUAGCUGCGUUUACUGUGAUUCCCCAAGUUUUAUAAUAUUUACUUAUAUCGCCAAGGUGAAGAGCGGCUUGCUUUAAGGCUUCAGUGGUGCUGUUUGUGUAUGUUAUGAAAGGUGGUAAAAUGGAUUCCAAUGCAGAAUCAAACUGUCGACGAAACAUACUCCAAUCCGUGGACUUAUAAGAAACAACCACUCUGGGAGUUUUGAGGAUAAUACCACCUGUAUUGAACGAAAUAUCCAAUUUGAGAGGGUAAUGGUCAGAAAAUGAGGGAAUACUGGUUAUUUUGUAGUUGCCUGCAUCAGUAUCUAUCAGUUUUGGGCUGACCAAAAAAUGAUCCAAAUAAGAUGGACCAUUAGGGUAUGAAGGAGAAGAGUCACAUAUUCGAGUAACGUCUGUGGCAUUAUCAAGCAACCAAUUGUAAAGUGUCCUUCCAUUAGUGUUGUCCAUUAUAUCACCCCACGUCGUGUGUCUAGAAUUAAGAUCCCCUCCAAAAAUAAAUCCAUCAUAAUUAUUAGUAAACUGCAGACAAUUAUUUAGACCAUUGAUUAAGUGUUGUGUGUUGAAAUUGGUUGAAAUAUAAAGUGAACCUAGUAAAAAUUUCUGCAUUGAAUUGUUAAUUUUUGUCUCAAUCUCAAUAAAGACUGCAUUAAAAUUUAUAUCCUCAGCUGUAGUGCGCUUGUAAUUGAUGUCGUUUUUUAAAAAUACUGCCAUGCCAAUAUUUGAGUAGUCAUAUCAAAAUGUGUAACCCUUCAUAUAAACUUUUUAUUUUUUCGAAGUUGGCAUUCUUGGAUAAAUGUAAUAUCAAUUUUGUUUUUGGAGAGAUAUUUAUGUAGCUCGAUCUGACGACUGCGAUCCACAAGAGACCGGACAUUGAAGGCUAAACAUUUUAAGGACCUAUGGACCAUAAGUAUCCUUUUUUUAAAAGACGCAUGAAUUCGUCUUUAGCUUUACUCUUUGACAUAUUGUUGAAUUCUGCCAGAAAUAUGUUUAUUUCUUGCUCUGGCGUUAGUUCCUCUGGUUGCAAGAAAAUAUUUGACAAUUUUAAAAAUUCGUCAAUAAUUGAUGGUUUACUACUAUGGCUCGUCGUAGGAUGAAAAUGACUUACAAAUGUUUUAUCUGCUGUAACAUAAUUGUUGGAAAUGACAUGACUCAGAUUUUCUGUUGCUGCCAUUUCAAUGUUUAUGGCGUUUUGAAUGC